UACGGAGGGGGCUAGCGUUGUUCGGAAUUACUGGGCGUAAAGCGCGCGUAGGCGGACCUGCAAGUCGGGGGUGAAAGCCCGAGGCUCAACCUCGGAACUGCCUUCGAUACUGCGGGUCUCGAGUACUGGAGAGGGUCGUGGAAUUCCCGGUGUAGCGGUGAAAUGCGUAGAGAGUCGGGAGGAACACCAGCGGCGGAAGGCGGCGACCUGGACAGUCACUGACACUCAACUGGCGAAAGCGAUGGGGA
rnacentral:rRNA from 1 species